AAGCAGAACACCUCACAAAGUGCACGGCAGCACAAACAGGCGCUCUAUUUAUUGACUUAUGUAUAUAUAGUUUCCCCCCACACUUGCUAAAGUAUCUCUCUGCCUGUUUUUCACGUUGUGUGUUCUCUUUUUUUUUUUCUUGCUCUUUCCUCCAUCUUGUUUUUCGUAAUUUAAGUGAAACACAGCUAACUCCAAUUUGGUUUCGGUGAAUUGCUAUGACAGAGUGGACUGUAGCUAUGGGGUACACUCAAUAUCCACUUUAAACUCUCGAGUAUUCUAACUAAAUUAAAAGGAGCUCACAUGCCUGGGAGCUGCAUCUCACGAAGAUAAAUGGAGAAAAUAAACGAUCGUGAUAUGCCUUCAUGUGGAUAUCCUUUUACUCAACAUAUGCACAGGAAAAGAAAAAUGCAUCAAGUUUCCCUGUUUCAGCAGGGGCUGGCUCAAUUAACCCCAUGGGUUUUCCAUCCAGUUUGAGAGUAAGCCCUGGAGGCACCCAAAGUGGCUCUAAACCCUAUUGCUGAUCAGACCAGUGGGAGCAUCAGCCAUCUGCCAAGGAAACAUCACACACAAAUCAAUGAUCAUUUCAGGAUCUGGAAGGUGUCAGAACUAGUCCAGGGAUCCCACUCACUGGAAUUCAAUGGUGGGGGUGGUCCCAUCCUGCAGCUCUGCUAGGGAGCACGCACUCUAGUGGGGUUUUGGAGGGCAGGUAUCCCCAUAUUUAUUUGCAGCGCUUGCAAUCAAAGAAUUUGUCACAUUUCUUCAGAGAGGAAGCUGCUCCAGUUGUGAGACAGGGGGAUGAUUCACAGCUUUAUUUAGGCGCCGUUGUUUUCACAGCUAGUUCUGCAAGCAAUAUAUCAUCUUCUGGCUUAGUCGAGGCUACAUCCUCUUGCGUGAGGCAGCUCCGUUUGCCUCGCUCCAUGUUUUUGCCUGUCGAUGGGAGCAGAAAGUAAUUAAGCCAGAGGGUGGGAGCAUUUAGUUCCUUUUCCUCUUCAAACCAAUUCGUCUUCCUGAGCUGACCAGUUACAUUGUGCGCUGUGAUCUCUGUGCUGAUAGCAGCUCCAGUCGCUUGCAGAAACCUGUACCCGUCCCUCAGCAGAUAAUGAGUACCAGACUCUCAAAUGUCUGCUAAAAGAGGUGAAAAGAUGCUGCUGGCUUCCCGUCCCGCUGAGUGCUUGCAAUGCUGCAGGCAUCACGAGCAGAUUAGCCCUGGUCCGGAGAUGCGGCAUCACAGCGGGUCCUAACUGGUGGAAUCCCUAGUAAGAGCAGUGCGGAGCCAGCGCUGACAUCCUUGCGCAAUGCCAGUGUGGCAGAAGAACAGAGUGGCUGCUAUCGUAGAUGGAGAAACAAUAAUCCCUGCCGACCAAGAUGACAACUUUUCUUUGGAUCUGGCAUCAAGUAGAAGUGCUUCCCCUGUGUCUGAGUUGGAGAAUGAGACCACUUCAACAGGACACUCUUCCAUCAUUUCCCAAAGACAUUAUUUUUGCAGUCGGAUGAGUGUUGGCUUCCCAGUGAUGCCUCUACGGACAACAGCAUUCUGUCAGACUGACCUCUCAUACAGCGUUUGAUAGUGUGAUAUAAGUGUGCUGAGGAAGACAAGAAGAUGAUCUCCAGUUGAAGGCACACAAACUCCUAGCCGAUUUUAACAGGAUUGAACCCAGACAUCGUUUUUGCUGCACAACUGCACAACUUCAAAUUGGUUUUACAAUUCAAGGCUCUCUCUUCCAUAGUUAGUAAUUAUUACUUGUCAAGGUUCAUUAAUAUCUCUGCCCCAUACAUUACGCAAGAAACAUCAUUAUAGCAAGACCUUACCCCAUGUCAUUAGCAGGAACUUUUGUAUUUAAUGUUGAGAAUGACUCAAGUGAAGUGCUGCUUUCUCUGACCUGUCAUAAAUAAAGAACCAUUAUAAUUAAAAGCCCAGGCUUGAUUUAUACAGGCUGUUUGCUCAGGCUGCCAGGAUUGAACCUCUUAAUGUCUAUUGUUACCAAGGGAUUUUGGUAAGAGUUGAUCUAGUUUAAUCAAAUACUUACCACUUCUAAUAAGUUUUAGAAAUGUAGCAAGAAACAAAAACAAUCCUG
ensembl:lncRNA